GGAGGAGACGGAGGGGACUGACUGCAAAGGCAGUAUGCAGACAUCAAAAUCCCUAUCUUCAUGUUCCUUCUGUUCAAUUUCCUGGAUCUGUACAAAAACCUACUCAAUGGAUCCCUUAAAAAUGCCAUCUCGUAUCUCACUGAUCCUCCGUAUGACAAAAAGAAGCAUGUUACACUAGAUAACUUGG